CGGCAGCGCUCUUUGGUCAUUGUCAGACAAAUCAGGCCACGCCCAUGGGUCGCCAUAAAGUUAAUAGCGGCUGGGGUAAUAUGCUCAGCGGCCAUGAUCA
rnacentral:antisense_RNA from 1 species